rnacentral:rRNA from 1 species
CAAUAGCGUAUAUUAAAGUUGCUGCAGUUAAAAAGCUCGUAGUUGGAUCUCAGGUACGGAAUUAGUGGUUGGUUGUUAACUGAACCAUUAAUUUCCGCCUAAUCAGCCGCUUGCUAUCUCAUGUGCUCUUAAUCGAGUGCUUGUGAUACUCGGCACGUUUACUUUGAAAAAAUAAGAGUGCUCAAAGCAGGCCUUGUGCUUGAAUUGUGUUGCAUGGAAUAAUGGAAUAGGACUUCGGUUCUAUUUUGUUGGUUUUCGGAAUCGAAGUAAUGAUUAAAAGAGACAUACGGGGGCAUCUGUAUGGUGGUGUUAGAGGUGAAAUUCGAUGAUCACCGCCAGACAAUCAACUGCGAAAGCAUUUGCCAAGGAUGUUUUCAUUAAUCAAGAACGAAAGUCAGAGGUU